rnacentral:rRNA from 1 species
GACGAACGCUGGCGGCGUGCUUAACACAUGCAAGUCGAACGGAAAGGCCCUGCUUUUGUGGGGUGCUCGAGUGGCGAACGGGUGAGUAACACGUGAGUAACCUGCCCUUGACUUUGGGAUAACUUCAGGAAACUGGGGCUAAUACCGGAUAGGAGCUCCUGCUGCAUGGUGGGGGUUGGAAAGUUUCGGCGGUUGGGGAUGGACUCGGGGCUUAUCAGCUUGUUGGUGGGGUAGUGGCUUACCAAGGCUUUGACGGGUAGACGGCCUGAGAGGGUGACCGGCCACAGUGGGACUGAGAGACGGCCCAGACUCAUACGGGAGGCAGCAGUGGGGAAUGUUGCACAAUGGGCGGAAGCCUGAGGCAGCAACGCCGCGUGGGGGAUGACGGCCUUCGGGUUGUAAACCGCUUUCGCCUGUGACGAAGCGUGAGUGACGGUAAUGGGUAAAGAAGCACCGGCUAACUACGUG